rnacentral:rRNA from 1 species
UGGGGAAUAUUGCACAAUGGGCGCAAGCCUGAUGCAGCCAUGCCGCGUGUAUGAAGAUGGCCUUCGGGUUGUAAAGUACUUUCAGCGGGGAGGAAGGGAGUAAAGUUAAUACCUUUGCUCAUUGACGUUACCCGCAGAAGAAGCACCGGCUAACUCCGUGCCAGCAGCCGCGGUAAUACGGAGGGUGCAAGCGUUAAUCGGAAUUACUGGGCGUAAAGCGCACGCAGGCGGUUUGUUAAGUCAGAUGUGAAAUCCCCGGGCUCAACCUGGGAACUGCAUCUGAUACUGGCAAGCUUGAGUCUCGUAGAGGGGGGUAGAAUUCCAGGUGUAGCGGUGAAAUGCGUAGAGAUCUGGAGGAAUACCGGUGGCGAAGGCGGCCCCCUGGACGAAGACUGACGCUCAGGUGCGAAAGCGUGGGGAGCAAACAGG